UACGUAGGGGGCAAGCGUUGUCCGGAAUCAUUGGGCGUAAAGAGCGUGUAGGCGGUCCGGUAAGUCGGUUGUGAAAGUCCAGGGCUCAACCCUGGGAUGCCGAUCGAUACUGUCGGACUAGAGUUCGGAAGAGGCGAGUGGAAUUCCCGGUGUAGCGGUGAAAUGCGCAGAUAUCGGGAGGAACACCAAUGGCGAAGGCAGCUCGCUGGGACGUUACUGACGCUGAGACGCGAAGGCCAGGGGAGCAAACGGG
rnacentral:rRNA from 1 species